CAGGUCCGGCUGCCCGCGUCCACGCCGGCCGAGGCUGACAGGCAGCCCGCCGCCUCCCCUCCCGGCGCAGGGGCUGACAGCCCGACAGACACAACACCACACGUGCUGCCUCCUCCGCACCACAACACCUCCAGCCUGUCACCCCCGCGGGCCGCCUCAGCCCCGCUCGGAUCUCCGCGCACCCGGCCGGCGCCAGAGAGCGAGCGCCCGGGAGCGCGGGCAGAAGGGGCCGCGCCCGGCCUGAGGCGGCGAGCCGCCAGGCGCAGGUGGGGCCGGGGCGGUGGGCGCGCCCCCGAGGGAGACCGGGCUCGCCGGCACUGCCCAGCCCGAGGCUCCGCGGCCUGGGCCGCUCGCCGCCCGCCCACCGCCGGCUCCCUGGGGCUGGGCCAGCCGCGCGAGCGGCGGGCGGCGGGCGGGCGGGCGAGCGGUGGGGGCGUUGGGCCCGAGAGCGCCGGGCCGGAGGGCGGCGCGCGGGCCCCGGGCGGGGGAGCCGGGCGCCGGCCGGGCGCGAGGGGGCGGCCUCGGCGCCCCAGCCCGAGGCCUGGCGCAGAGCAGCGGGAGGCGGCGCAGGCCGCGGCGGGGCCUGCAGCGGCCCGCCGGCCCCGCGAAGCGGCGGAGCGGGCCCCGGAGCGGCUCAGCCUCGGGCUCGACGGCCGGGGACGGCCGCCGGCGGGUCCUCGGCUACUUACCGGGGGGGAAGAGAGCCGGGAUCCCUGGGCCCCGGGCCGGACCGCGGAGAUGCCCCAAACUGACACGGCCGCCAUCUUGGAGACAGUGAGCUCCGGCCGGGGGGAGGGGAGGCGAGGCGGCGGAACAGCCGCGGGGGGAGGGGAAGCGUCGCGAGGGAACGGCUGCCUGGGGGAGGGAGCGGGAACAGCCUGGGAGGGAGGCGAGGGGGAGGGCGACGGGCUGGCACGAAGGGGGGGCGGGCGAGGAGCGGGAAGAGCGGCGCCGAGAGCCGGGAAAGGCCGGAGGGCGGGGCGGGACAGGAGGGAAGAGCCGGCCGGGCGGGUCACGUGGGGCCGGUACAAAAGGCCAAAGCCAAAGUGGGAGGAGGACCUGGUGGGCCUGGAGGCCGACAACUGGGGGUUCCUCCUCGCCUUUCUCACGCGGUUAGGUCAGGCGGAUAGCGGGAAAAGGGGACGGCGUAUCCCCAUUACACAGCUGGGGAAACUGAGGGCAGGCGCCUGGGCGGGGUGGCGUCAUUGUGGUACGGAAAUCCGGCGGCCCGGCGAGCUGCGCUCCUGA
rnacentral:lncRNA from 1 species